rfam:Mobiluncus mulieris ATCC 35239 genomic scaffold SCAFFOLD1, whole genome shotgun sequence.
GGCUACUACCUUUUACUCGGAACGUCCGGCACGUACCUGCCGGUGAAAGGAUGAAUUU